AAAUCUGUUGUGGUUAAAAAAGCUGGGCUGUAUUUUCUUUAAAUGCACUACAAUCCAGAAAAUUAGUUCUGCUUUGGAAUACAUCUUCCUGGCCAUAAUGAAAUUUAGGAUGGACUUUUAAGAUGUUUGGUUUCUUUUUCCUCAGCUUUUCAGAUGCCUAUUCUUGUGCAAAACCUGCCACAACUUACGCCCUGGAAGAGCUUCACAGUUUCCUUCAGCCAGAACUGCUGCAUCCACAGCCUAUUAUGGGAGCAGGUGACAGGUCCCUCCAACAGAUUCUUUGUUUCUCAUGGUAUAAAAAGUCUUUGGAGAGGGAGGGGUAAGUGGCCUGUUUUGUUUACAUCAUGGGUCAUUCACUGUAUUUGAUUCAGCUGUGUAUGGCACCAGAACUCUUGGGAUGAUGCUGUUUUUCUGGCAGAACUUGAGCCAGCUGAGACAAACGGGUUGUAACUUGUACCCCCUGCAACUGGCAGUUUUUUACUUAGGUUGUGAAAAGGCAGAGAUUUUGUCUCCCUGGGAGUUAUCUGUCCUAACUGGGCACUAAUUAUGAUUGCUAAUUUUUCUUUGAAAUGCUUAUUUAAGUAUGUUCCCUUGUAGGUUUGGAGAACUCGGAGUUUUGACCCAAUGUAAAAGUUAUGGAUUGCCACUAAGCAUGUGACAGUGAGAAACAUUUACUGCUUCCCUGCAUGAGAUACACUCUAUGCUCCACAUUGCCCAGAUGCCUAUUGGAAAAGUACUGUGAUUAAGUGUUUCUACUGCCUGUCAGAACUGCAGCUGUAUAACAUGGGAAGACAAGAAGAUCCUUUUGACAUUUUGUGAAUGUUACAAGAGUGUAGCAGCAAGGAAAGUCAUUUUACUGCUGGAGAGACAAGGAUUCAUCAUGUCCCCGCUUGCAAAAAUGAGAAGAGAAAGGGAGAGCCAUUGGAACUGUGGAUCUGAUGUGUUCAGUAUAUCUUAUGCAGAUGGAAUGCAAGAGAAACAGAUGUCCUCCCGUGUGCAUUCCAGCUUAUUUUGGCAUCAUCUCAGCUGAUUCCAGAAUGGAGGAUAUGUUCAGAAAAUCUGGUAUUCGGGCUUUUGUCUGCAUUUAUUACUUGAGUGAACUCCUGGUCUACAAUCGUUCAACACCAUGAACUGGAAAACAGAUCUGGGUAUCUCAGCUCACCUGGUCAGCAAUACAAAGGAAGUUCAGAGAUCUAAUGGGCAGGAAAAGAUAAGAAGCUAGCCAAAGACAGCAGAGAAUGCUGGAUAUUUUAACUCUUCCUAGACACAGUGACUUCUGAAGCUGUGAUCCAUUAUCUAUUUUACAACAGAUGGUGAUAACAAAUUGAUGUGUACUUUUAUUACUGUACAUGGAAAGAGGAAAUUAGCUGCAAUGUCUAACAGGCUUCAGAGAGAAAUAAAUAAAAAGCCAG